ACAUCUCCACGUAUCAGGUAUCAGGCAGCGCACAGGGUGUAAAUAAGGACGGUCACACUGGCAUUCACGGACACUCGCUCCUCGCUCAGCAGCUGUGAUGAGAGACUUUGCCCUUUUGCCUCGAGAAAAGGCCACGUCUGACACAGUCAUAUUUCACAGCUGUUACACACUGGGCAACAUGCGUGUGUACACAGCAAACAAGCACCUCCAAACACUGACGACAUAUUUCAUGGCGGCAGCUGUCAUGCAGAUCAUUCAAAAACUGGAUAUAACGAGGCCUACAGUACAUGCUUACGCCCCCUAGUGGUUGUGAGCAGUAAAGGGGUGACAUCAGGGUAGGGGGUCCGGUCCGUUGGCCACGGAUGAGGUGCUGGCUGUCCUGAGUCGGGACCCAGGAUGGACCGCGCGUCCAGAGCCCGGGGCCCAGGAUGGACCGCUUGCCUUUGUAUCGGCUGGGACAUCUCUGCGCUGCUGAGCCGCCUCCGCUUGGGACGGUUUCCUGUUGGCUCCGCUGUGGACGGGACUCUAACUGCUGUGUUGGAUCCACUUUGGACUGGACUCUCACGGUUGUGUUGGAUCCACUAUGGCAGUGGUUCUCAACCUUUUUUCAGUGAUGUACCCUCUGUGAACAUUUUUUUAAUUCAAGUACCCCCUAAUCAGAACAAAGCUUUUUUGGUUGAAAAAAAGAGAUAAAGAAGUAAAAUACAGCACUAUG